ACGGCUCAGUAACACGUGGCUAACCUGCCCUUGGGAUAGGAACACCCCCGGGAAACUGGGGCUAAUUCCCAAUAGGCGAAGAACUCUGGAAUGAGUCUCCACCAGAAAGGGCAUCUGCGCUAUGCUCGCAGGUGUCGCCCAAGGAUGGGGCCGCGACCGAUCAGGUUGUUGGUGAGGUAAUGGCUCACCAAGCCUUUUACCGGUGCGGGCCGUGGGAGCGGGAGCCCGGAGAUGGGCACUGAGACAAGGGCCCAGGCCCUACGGGGCGCAGCAGUCGCGAAAACUUUGCAAUAAGCGAAAGCUUGACAGGGCUAUCCCGAGUGCCAUCCGCUGAGGAAGGCUUUUACCCAGUCUAGAACGCUGGGGGAAUAAGGAGAGGGCAAGUCUGGUGUCAGCCGCCGCGGUAAUACCAGCUCUCCGAGUGGUGUGGAUGUUUAUUGGGCCUAAAGCAUCCGUAGCUGGCUAGGUUAGUCCCCUGUUAAAUCCACCGAAUUAAUCGUUGGAUUGCGGGGGAUACUGCUUGGCUAGGGGACGAGAGAGGCAGACGGUAUUUCCGGGGUAGGGGUGAAAUCCUAUAAUCCCGGGAGGACCACCAGUGGCGAAGGCUGUCUGCUAGAACGCGCCCGACGGUGAGGGAUGAAAGCUGGGGGAGCGAACCGGAUUAGAUACCCGGGUAGUCCCAGCUGUAAACGAUGCACGCUAGGUGUUUGGACGGCCACGUGCCGUUCUAGUGCCGCAGGGAAGCUGUUAAGCCUGCCGCCUGGGGAGUACGAUCGCAAGAUUGAAACUUAAAGGAAUUGGCGGGGGAGCAC
rnacentral:rRNA from 1 species